UACGUAGGAUGCAAGCGUUGUUCGGAAUUACUGGGCGUAAAGAGUACGUAGGCGGUAUGGUAAGUCUGAUAUUAAAGACUGAGGCUUAACCUCAGGACUGUAUCGGAAACUGCCAAAACUAGAGGACAAUAGAGGAAGUCGGAAUUCUCAGUGUAGCGGUGAAAUGCGUAGAUAUUGGGAAGAACACCAGUGGCGAAAGCGGACU
rnacentral:rRNA from 1 species